AUGACUUCCUUCUGUAAACAGACACAGUUUGGAAUUUGGAGGAUCAAUAUGGUGAAAAAUAAUCCUGGGUAAUGCAAUUUUUUUUGUUGUUGGAAACCCAGAAAUAAAAUUGGCUCUCAGGCAACUCACAAGCUGACCCCGGGGGAAAUCCACUGAUGCCUGAAGCCCUGGACAGGCCCUGCUGUGAGGAGUGGUUUCCUGUGGUGUCCACUUCAAAAGAUAGCCUGGCGGCUCACACAGGCUCACACAGUGGCCACCGAUUAAAGAAAUACACUGUCACAGGCCGGGCAGCCUUGGGUCAUCUUCUAACGUUCCCUUGUUACUAACAGAGCCUGCGAUCUGCCCAGCUGAGGAGCAUCGAGGAGAACGGGACAGCUCCUGCCUCAAGGAUCCCGCCCUGCUUGAGUCCCGCCUUGGCUUCCCUCAAUGGACUGUGACUCCAGAUAUAUUCUUAUGAUUCAGGAAGUAUUCUUCAAGAGAAAGCAAUUCUGAAAUCUGCUGUGGGUUUCAGAGAGACGGGGUGAGACACACCCCUGACUGGGCACAGAUGUGUGCUGGCAUCCCUGCUGACUUUCCAGAUCCUGGCUCAAGGCUUCCCUGACUGGGCAGAGGUGCUGCCUGGCUUACCCUGGUGUCUCACCUGGGUCAGAGCUUUACGUGGGGAAGUGGCUGGCAGGCAUACCUCAGGUGCCAAUGAUGUUUGCUACUUAUUAUCACAGGAGAGCUGAGAUGAAAGGCCACCUUGAAAGCUGGCAGACUCAGCUGUUACCAUGGCACCCAGAGGCUGGAUGGGAUUUCUCCUUGUUAUGACAGUGCAACUGCACGGGACACAGCACAUGCUCUCACUCGGUGAGAGGUUUCUGUGCCCGAGAGCUGAGGUAACUCCUGGAGCCAUCUGGCGGCACCAGCUUCCAUAAAGAAGGCCACCCUGGGCAGCAUUUUGACAGAAAAAGAGGCAGGAGAUGCAGACAGGAACGUGGGUGGUGAGAGGGCCUUGAUUCUGCGCAGGACCCAUUGCACACACUCCUGGUGUGCGUGCAUGAGCACACCCGUGCUAAGAGACAGUAACAGUUCAUGGGUUCUGUCUCCAGGACCCCUCUCCUGCUGUGACACCCUGUCAGAAAGAUGCCCUGGGAAGUGACAGAGGGAGGUAAAGUCCCAACCAGGCAAACAGGAGGCUCCAAGUUAGACCCCCCCCCCCCGUACCAUGUGAGCAGUCGGGAGUGGAGGUGUGUGCCUGUUAUCCAGGUCCUGGGGCCAGGAGGGUACAGAGACAGGAUCCCCGGAGCUUCCUGCUAGCCACUCUAGCCUAAUCAUGGAGACAAAGCGCUCCACGUCCCAGGGAGAGAUUCUGUUCCAAAAAGCAAGAACAGUACCCGGAAAGCAAUAUCCAAGGCUGACUUGUUGCUGGCUUUCACGCAUUAGCUCCCUCUCCUCAAGAACAUGUUCCCUUACAGGGGAGAGAGAGAGCGAGAGAGAGAGAGA